CCUGGCUUGGUUCCAAGACCCUAUGGGGUAUAAAGUUGCUGCAUUUAAAGCAUUAUUCAACCGAAUCUGUACGCAUAUUACAAAGUGGAAAGAUAAACUUAAAGAAAGGGAAUACAUAUAUACACAUGACUGCAAAUAUGGGUAUAGUACCAAAACAAUGGAUGGUAUCUGGCGGAAAGUAAUGACAAAUGUAGAAAGACCUAUCCCGCAGGUACAACAAGCCCAACUGGCAGUCAUAUAAGUUUGCUACUAUUACUUAUUAUGAAAACACUGACCAUAUCCUGGUCAAGACUCUAAGGCAUACACAGACAAAAAUGGCAAAAAGACGUGGAUCCAUCGUAUUCGACUUGCUCUGCAACGACAAAGAUCCUGUAAGUGAGGGAAGGAAAGCGGGCAUUUAUAGUAUUCCGUUAUAUAACGUAGAGGAGGACGUCACACAAUAUUAUAUAGGCAGCACGAGGA
rnacentral:lncRNA from 1 species